CGGCAAAAGCUCAAAUUUGAAAUCUGGCUCUUUCAGAGUCCGAGUUGUAAUUUGAAGAAGGUAUCUUUGGGUCUGGCUCUUGUCUAUGUUUCUUGGAACAGAACGUCACAGAGGGUGAGAAUCCCGUGCGAUGAGAUGAUCCAGGCCUAUGUAAAGUUCCUUCGAAGAGUCGAGUUGUUUGGGAAUGCAGCUCUAAGUGGGUGGUAAAUUCCAUCUAAAGCUAAAUAUUGGCGAGAGACCGAUAGCGAACAAGUACAGUGAUGGAAAGAUGAAAAGAACUUUGAAAAGAGAGUGAAAAAGUACGUGAAAUUGUUGAAAGGGAAGGGCUUGAGAUCAGACUUGGUAUUUUGUAUGUUACUUCUUCGGGGGUGGCCUCUACAGUUUAUCGGGCCAGCAUCAGUUUGGGCGGUAGGAGAAUUGCGUUGGAAUGUGGCACGGCUUCGGUUGUGUGUUAUAGCCUUCGUCGAUACUGCCAGCCUAGACUGAGGACUGCGGUUUAUACCUAGGAUGUUGGCAUAAUGAUCUUAAGUCGCCCGUCUUG
rnacentral:misc_RNA from 1 species